rnacentral:piRNA from 1 species
UGGGAAUAAAAAGUUCUAUGAAGAGCAC